rnacentral:rRNA from 1 species
UACGUAGGGGGCAAGCGUUGUUCGGAAUUACUGGGCGUAAAGGGCGCGUAGGCGGCAGGCCAAGUCGGGAGUGAAAGCCCUGGGCUCAACCUGGGAAUGGCAUUGGAAACUGGCGACCUAGAGUGCGGUAGAGGGUAGUGGAAUUCCCGGUGUAGCAGUGAAAUGCGUAGAGAUCGGAAGGAACAUCCGUGGCGAAGGCGACUACCUGGACCAGCACUGACACUGAGGCACGAAAGCGUGGGGAGCAAACAGG